GCUGGGUGUGGUGGCUCAUGCCUGUAAUCCGAACUACUUGGGAAGCAGAGGUGGGAGCAUCACUUGAGGCCAGGAGCUCAAGACCAGCCUGGACAAUAUAGUGAGACCCCAUCUCUA
ensembl:misc_RNA Metazoa_SRP Metazoan signal recognition particle RNA